rnacentral:misc_RNA from 1 species
CGGCAACAAGAAGGCAAAUUUCAACAGAUCCAGUAAUAUUUUUUUUAUAUAUAAAAGUUAUUUAUAAUUAUGACUUACUAAUUGACCACACACACAAUACACAUAUAGCAAUACAAUGAAACAAUUCAUACAUAACACACGCGAAAAAUUGAGAAAAGAAAUAAUGAAACAGAGGUCGUUAUGUUCCCCUCUUAAGCAUUUGUUCAUAGUUUUCUAUGGACUCAAGCCUCUGAAGAAGCAGCUGUUGUUUAAACUUCUUUAUGAAAUUCUCUGCGCUUUCAUUAAUGUCUUCCGAUGGCUUGCUCUCCAGCUUCUUUGGCGCUGCCGCCGGCUUCCUCAUAUUCGUAGAAUUAGGCCUCUGUAUCUCUCUGCUGAAAUACUCCAUCGGCCUUUCUGUUUUUUUCUCAAUUUGUUCAACUUUUGCUGUGCGGUAGUAACGGGGAUUCAAGGAACCACUCAUUUUUUAAACCUUAAUUUUUUGCUCUGUUCUGAAAGAAAAAACACUUAAGAGUUGAUAGUGCUCUGCUUCUAUCGGCUAUUUGGAUACCCAUAUUUAUAGGUAGACGCCAAUACAGGAGAUACGACUUUUCCUCUUCUAUGAUUCG